rnacentral:rRNA from 1 species
UACGAAGGGGGCAAGCGUUGUCCGGAUUUAUUGGGCGUAAAGAGCGUGUAGGCGGCCAAGCAGGUCCGCUGUGAAAACUCGAGGCUCAACCUCGAGAGGUCGGUGGAAACCGUUUGGCUAGAGUCCGGAAGAGGAGAGUGGAAUUCCCGGUGUAGCGGUGAAAUGCGCAGAUAUCGGGAAGAACACCCGUGGCGAAGGCGGCUCUCUGGGACGGUACUGACGCUGAGAC